rnacentral:rRNA from 1 species
UCAAGCUACUAAGGGUAAACGGUGGAUGCCUUGGCGUCGAGCGGCGAUGAAGGACGUAGCAAGCUACGAAAAGCCUCGGGGAGCCGCAAGCAGGCUGUGAUCCGGGGAUGUCCGAAUGGGGGAACCCUACUGGGGUCAUGCCCAGUAACCUCUUGGCUGAAUACAUAGGCCUCGAGGAGCCAACCCGGGGAAGUGAACCAUCUCAGUACCCGGAGGAAGAGAAAGCAAACGCGAUUCCGUCAGUAGCGGCGAGCGAAAGCGGAUCAGCCUAAACCAUGCACGUGCCAAGCUGGCGGGCGUUGCGUGCGUGGUGUCGUGGGGUCCGAUGUGAUCCGGCUGCCACCGGGUCGAGGAGUUACAAAACGUCCAUCUAGUGGAGCGGUCUGGAACGGCCGGCCACAGAGGGUGAGAGCCCCGUACACGAAAGGUGCGACGACUCCUUAUUCGGGUCCCCGAGUACCACGGGACACGUGGAACCCUGUGGGAAUUCGGGAGGACCAUCUCCCAAGGCUAAAUACGUCUCGACGACCGAUAGUGAACCAGUACCGUGAGGGAAAGGUGAAAAGCACCCCUGUGAGGGGAGUGAAAUAGUACCUGAAACCGUUUACCUACAAGCAGUGGAAGGGCUAUGUCCUGAGCGCAAGCGAAGGAAAUGCCUAACCGCGUGCCUUUUGCAUAAUGAGCCGGCUAGUUACUCUCGGCGGCAAGGUUAAGCACUUUGCGAAGCCGCAGCGAAAGCGAGUCUGAAUAGGGCGAUUCAGUCGUCGGGAGUAGACGCGAAGCGGGAUGAUCUACCCUUGGCCAGGAUGAAGCGUGGGUAACACCACGUGGAGGUCCGAACUAGUGUUGGUUGAAAACAACUUGGAUGAGCUGAGGGUAGGGGUGAAAGGCCAAUCAAAUUCCGUGAUAGCUCGUUCUCCCCGAAAUAGCUUUAGGGCUAGCCUCGCGUGGUUCGUGGCGGUGGUAGAGCACUGGAUGGGUUAGGGACCUUACCCGGUUACCGACCCCAACCAAACUCCGAAUGCCGCCAACGUCAAGCGCGGGAGUCAGACGGCGGGGGAUAAGCUUCGUCGUCAAAAGGGAAAGAACCCAGACCGCCAGCUAAGGUCCCCAAGUAACGGCUAAGUGGUAAAGGAUGUGGGGUUGCCCGGACAUCCAGGAGGUUGGCUUAGAAGCAGCCAUCCUUUAAAGAAAGCGUAAUAGCUCACUGGUCUAGCGAUCCUGUGCCGAAAAUUCAACGGGGCUCAAGCCGUUCACCGAAGCUGCGGAUCUUUUCCACCCGAGGGUGGGAGAGGUGGUAGGGGAGCGUUCCAUGCGGGAUGAAGUCAGACCGUAAGGACUGGUGGACCUCAUGGAAGUGACUCUGCCGGCAUAAGUAGCGAUAAAGCAGACGAGAACUCUGCUCGCCGGAAGCCCAAGGUUUCCUGAGCAAGGUCAAUCCGCUCAGGGUCAGUCGGUCCCUAAGGCGAGGCCGAACGGCGUAGUCGAUGGGAAGCAGGUUAACAUUCCUGCACCACUCUGUCCUCGUUAUUACGAUGGGGUGACGCAGAAGGAUAGGUCGGACUGCCAUUGGAUGUGCAGUUUGAAGCGUGUAGGCGGGAGUGGUAGGCAAAUCCGCCGCUCCGUUAACGCCGAGACGCGAUAUCGAGGGCGCAAGCCCGCAAAGCGACUGAUUCCACGCUGCCAAGAAAAACCUCUAAGGAGAGAACAGGGUGACCGUACCGCAAUCGGACACACGUAGGCAGGGAGAGAAUCCCGAGGCGCUUGAGUGAUCCCCCGUAAAGGAACUCGGCAAAAUUACACCGUAACUUCGGGAGAAGGUGUGCUCUUUGCCGUGUAGACCUUCGCGGUCGAAGCGGUGGAGAGUCGCAGUGAAAAGGCCCAGGCGACUGUUUACUAAAAACACAGCACUCUGCAAACGUCACAAGCGGACGUAUAGGGUGUGAAGCCUGCCCGGUGCCGGAAGGUUAAGGGGAGGGGUCAUUCCCGCGCAAGCGGGAAGAAGCUCUGAACUGAAGCCCCGGUAAACGGCGGCCGUAACUAUAGACUGGACCGCUGUAGUUUCGUCAACAAAAUUCGGCUAUUUGCUGGAAAAGCCGGUGUAUCCCUCGGUACUCGCCGCUGGAGCGAUUGCUCGAACAAGGCGGCAGUGAAAAUCCGCAGGGUGCGGCCAAUCAGCAGGAAAGGCGCAAGCCUUUUCGGAGGGGCAAUGUCGAAGCUCAAGGAAACUCCGCCGCAAAUCGGCUACUAUCUCGCCGGUUUUGCGGAUGGAGAAGGCAGCUUCAACGUCUCGUUCCGCCCCAGGACCGACUACGGUUUUCCGUGGAAGAUCUCGCUGUGCUUCAACAUCUCUCAGCGCGAUCCGGUGGUCCUCGUACUGUUCAAGAAGCAUCUUGGGUGUGGGACGAUGCGCCAGCGUCACGACGGCGUGUGGUAUUUCGAAGUCAACAACCUCAGUGCGAUCCUCGAGAGCGUGAUCCCCUUCUUCGAGCGGUUUGGUUUCCUCUCCGCAAAGAAGAAAAGGGACUUCGCGAAGUUCAAACAGAUGGCUCAGAUCAUGCGUGAGGGACGCCAUCUCUCCCGUGAGGGAGUCGAGGAGAUCCUGAGGGUGCGCGCCGACAUGAACGAUGGUGGCAAUCGCCGUUACACCGACGAACAGGUCCGAGAAAAGCUUGCGAAUCCUCAGAGACCAUACGCCGAAUCCCGCGCCGCGCGGGAAUGAUAUGGUCCGAUCUCCGUGGCGACACGGAGAGCCUGGCGGAAACGACCAGGCCGCCUGCGCUGCAUGCAGGACGUAACAAUCGUGAACGGUCCUAAGGUAGCGAAAUUCCUUGUCGGGUAAGUUCCGACCUGCACGAAAGGCGAAACGAUCUGGGCGCUGUCUCUACGGGGGGCUCAGCGAAUUUGAAGUACCGGUGAAGAUGCCGGUUACCCGCACCUAGACGGAAAGACCCUGUGCACCUUUACUACAACUUGUCACUGGACCUU